rnacentral:rRNA from 1 species
GACGAACGCUGGCGGCGUGCUUAACACAUGCAAGUCGAGCGGUAAGGCCCUUCGGGGUACACGAGCGGCGAACGGGUGAGUAACACGUGAGUAAUCUGCCCAUCACUUCGGGAUAAUUCCGGGACACCGGUGCUAAUACCGAAUUUGACCACUUCAGGCACCUGAUGGUGGUGGAAAGUUCCGGCGGGGAUGGUUGAGCACCCUGCCUAUCAGCUUGUUGGUGGGGUAGUUGCCUACCAAGGCAUCGACGGGUAGCCGGCCUGAGAGGGUGAACGGCACCACUGCGACUGAGACUCGGCCCAGACUCCUACGGGAGGCAGCAGGGGGGAAUAUUGGACGAUAGGCGAAAGCCUGAUCCAGCAACGCCGCGUGAGGGAUGACGGCCUUCGGGUUGUAAACCUCUUUCAGCAGGGACGAAGCGCAAGUGACGGUACCUGCAGAAGAAGCACCGGCCAACUACGUG